GCUCCAGUCAUGCCUGCCUGCGGUGGCCCCGGGCCCAAUGUCAAUGUCACACGGGGGUUCCAGACUCCUCCACAGCUCUCUGAUGCCUGUCCUUGCUCUGAGAAGUCUGGAAAGACCCUGAAGCAUCCCUCUGAGCUCACAUCAUCUCCCAUCCCACAGAUUUGCCUUUUUCUUCCCUUAGCACUCCUAUGAGUGCCACCUCUUUCCAGGGUCACCUCACCUCUGCCUUCCUAGGUUAUUGCAAUAGCCCCUCACCUGGUGCCCCUGACCUACCCCCCUAUCCACUUCUGCCCACUUCACACAACAAAUUCAUAUCCAGUUUCAGUAAGUCUUUCUUUUGUGAUCAGAGUCAGCUUCAUGCAGUUAAUUACACAGGACCCCACAUUUAGAAGAGCCCUACACUUGGUUGAAUACUCUGCUCUGGCCGUCUUGAAAUUCUUCCUGAUUUUUGAAUCAGAAGCCUGCGUUUUUAUUUUAUACUGGGGCCAGCAGAUUAUGUAGCUGGUCCUAUUCAUGUUUCAGUUCAAGAAGCUUUAGCAGUAUUUCCCAGUCUUUUUAAAUCCAUUGUACACAAAGAACCUAAUAAUAUAUGGGUGUUCCGAAGCCCCACAUGCUGGCCAGCCACUUUAGGGGGGAACAGAUGUCACGGCAAACAGCAACCCUUUUGCAGCACACAAAGAUGCUGGGCACACUUACUGAGGAAGCUCUGUCUUUCAGGAGAAGUUUCUCUUAGUUCACCUAAGUGCUCCCAGCUUUAUUUUAGGAAGCCCAGCAUGCGGUCAAGUGUCUAUGAGCCCAUGAAUUACUCCCAUGGUCAUCUCCAGGCCCCCACGAAUGUAGUCCCUGUUGCAGGGAAGAAUCACUCCCUUUCUGGGUGUUACCCAUAUCCCACCCAUUUUAUCAGAUCAGCUCAAGCCCAUCUCCUCCGCGAGUUUGUCUUGAGAUAACAGCCAAGAGCACUUCUUUCACAUAGCAAAUGACUACCGGACUUCCCGUGUGGCUCUCAACAUAUAGCAAAUGAUUACCGAUUGCUUCAUCUGCACCAAGUACUGAGCCAGCACUGAGGAUACAAUUGUAAACGUACUCACAGCCCUGCCUUCAUGAAACCUUGCACGUCAGGAAGACGAGCCAGGAAAAAGCUGUCUUUGAAGCAUUGUGAUAAGAGCCCUCGCGGAAGAAUUAAGGGGAGGAUGCAUUCGUUUCCUGUGGCUACUGUAACUCAUUGCCACAAACUUGGUGGUUUAUAGCAACAGAAGUUUCUUUUCCCACAUGCUGGAGGCUCGGUGUCUGAUAUCAAGGCAGGGCCAGGCCUCCUCUGAAGACUCUAGGGAAGAAUCCUUUCUGGCCUCUCCCAGCUUCUGGCAGCUCCCUGCUUUCCUCAGCUUGUGGCCACAUCCUUCCAACCUUUGCCUCCUUCCUCACGUGGCCUUUCCCUCUUUGCUCUACAUCUCUUCUAAAGAUAUUUGUCAUUGUAUGUAAGUCUAUUUGGAUUAUCCAGGUUGAUCUCAUCUCAAGAUCCUUUAUUACACCUGCAAAGACCCCCCCCUCCUUUUUUUGAAGGCAUAACAUUCAUAUGUCCUGGGAAUUAGGAUAUGGACUUAUCUUUUGGCAGAGCCAUCAUUUAACCCCCUCAGAGGGUAUUUAACCCCACACUGGAAAAUUGGGAUGAGUCUCCUUGAAAAAAAAAAUUAAUCUGAAUAAGCCAGGAAAAGAGAGAAAGAAGCGGGGGGGGGGGAGGUGGACUGCAGUGAAAAUGGUUGUGGAAAAAGCAUGUGCAGAGGUCCUAAUACAAGGUGAAACCUGCUGGAUUCCUGGCAUUAGAUGAAGCUAAGUGUCUUUGCAGAAGGCUAUACAAGGAGAAAGGGUAAGAGAAGCAGCUGCAGGAGGAAUCAGGGCCAAAUCAGGAUGAGCCUUGUAACUAUAGAAAGUCACUUGAGAGUUCCCACCGUGGCGCAGAGGGUUAAGUAUGUGACCACAGCUGUUCAGGUCACCGUGAAGCUGUGGGUUCAAUCCCCAGCCUCGCUCAGCGGGUUAAAGGAUCCAGCAUUGCUGCAGCUGUGACUCAUCUUCAUUCAAUCGCUGGCCUAGGAACUUCCUUAUGCUAUAGUUGUGUCCAUAAAAAGAAAAAAAGGAAAGGAAAGUCAUUUGGACCAAGGUAACAAUUCAGGGAGGCCCUGAAUGGUUUUAAGAAAUAGAAGGAUGUGAUCAGAUUUCAAAAACAUUGCUACGGCUGUGGCAUGGAGCUUGGUUUGGAGGCAGCCAGGACUGGACCAAGGAGAACGCUUAGGAAAUGGUUACAUAACUCCAGCAGUGAAAGAUAAACUAGGAUGGUGCCGAAGGAAAGGCAGGCAAGUCAACAUAUUCCAGAGGUUAUUUGGGAGGCAGACUCACCAGAUUUGGUGGCUGGUGGGAUUUUAGUACAGAAGCCCAGGCUUCUGGCUUCUGGUUUGGAAAUGUUGCCUUCGUUAAAGUCAGGAGGAACUAAGGAGGUGCAGUUUGGGUGGGGCGCUGGUGGGAUGCGUCUGUCGUAUCUGUGGGAUGCUCUAUGAAGGGUUAUGAGUGGGAUUUACACGUGGUGCUCUGAAGCACAGCAGAGAGCCUGGGGCUACAAAUGAAGACUUGGGAACCGUCGGUACCCGGAUCAUACGUGAAAUCAGGGGAUGACCAAUUUCACUCAGGGGAGUGUGUAAAGUGAAAAGAAACGAUUCGAAAUGCAUUGUCCGUUGUCUCAUUUUAUGUCACUCAUUUUGCAGUUUGCGGAACUAUUCAAGCACAGUAUUGUUCUCUUUUAUCUUGGUCAUAACUAUUUCAUGUGCCGGGGAAUCAAGCCAAGGGUCCAGAACAGGGGGUCCAGGUGGGAAAAAGCCCAGAACAAUGGGCUGGAUACUCUCUGUCCAAGACUGAGUCAGAAAAUAGGAGGAGAGAACAUUUCCCAUCUCUGAUCCUUGAGCAAAACCCAUCAUCCAAUAUCACCAUCCAUGGAAUAUUCUAAAACAUUAUUUCUCAUAGAUUAUAAUUAAGUUCUUCUAAGUUCUGAAGUAUAUUUUGGGGGCUCAAGGUAUUUCCUUUCCCCUCCCCUGGGCUCCUCCCCAGCUAGUUAAAUCCUAUAGGACAGUGCUACUCAAUAGAACUUUCUGCAACAAUGGAAACAUUCUAUGUCUGGGUUUUAUAGUGUGGUAGCCCCUUGCUGAAGGUGGCCACGAGCUCUGGAAUGUAGCUAGUGCCCCUGAGGAACUGAACUUUUAAUUUUACUUCUUUUUAAAUUUAAAUACCCAUGUGUGGCUGGUGGCUACCACAUUGGACAGAAUAACUGUACGAUCUUUAGUGAACUCAAAAUUCACUUCCUCCAGAGACAGUCCCUGAAUCCCUUUCCCCAAACCAGGCCUAUCUCCCCUCUAUGUGCUAUUUAGAAACUUGUACUGUCAUGGAGCUAAUGACGAUUAUAAUUUUGAAUAAUUGUGUUUUUGCCCAUUUUAUGUUUAUCUCCCCUUAUAGAACAAGCUCUAAGAUGGCAAGGACUAUGUCUGUCUCUUUUACCACUGUAUUUCCAGCAUGAAGCAGAGAGCACAGUAUUUGCUAUUUGCUUAAUUAAUGUAUAUGAAAAGAAUAAAUCAAUAAUCAAAUGAUUCUGCAAAACAUAAUAUGGGAUUAUGUACCAAAUAUAUGCAUACUGAAUGAUUGACUACCAACUACAGUCACAUAUUAAAUAAUUCAAACCAUGUUAUAAAUAAUUCUAGGAGGCUAAUACCUUGGAUCAGUAGAAAUUGGGACCUUAAAGAGAGGAAUGGGAGUUCCUACUGUGGCUCAGCAGUAACUAACCGGACUAGUAUCCACGAGGAUGCAGGUUCAAUCCCUGGCCUCACUCUGUGGGUUAAGGAUCUGGCAUGGUUGUGAGCUGUGGUAUAGGUAGCAGAUAAGGCUGGAUUUGGCGCUGCUGUGGCUGUAGUGUAGGCCUGCAGCUGUAGCUCCGAUUCAACCCCUAGCCUGGGAACUUCCAUAUGCUGCAUGUGCAGCCAUAAAAAACAAAAUAAUAAUAGUAAUAAUAAGAUAGAAAGAGAGGGAUGAAUUUGACAUGCUCGGUUUGGAGUAUAUGAAAUGUAAGGGGCUGGAUCUUUUUCUAUAUUCCCUUGACCUCGCUGGUCGUUAAAAACCCUGCAGGCCCUCCAGUCACAACAGUAUGCCACAUCUCCUCUCUCUUGCACCCUGCAGUUAAUAGAAAAAUCCAGUCACACUGCUCAUUCGCAUUUCUCAUUUUUCCCCUGAAGUUUACAUCGCCGCUCAGCCCCUCAAAGUUGCCCUCAAUCCAGAGUUUGUCACAGUGCACUGGUCUCCACAGCAAGGUUUGCAUUCUCUGUGUUUAUUUGACAUAUUCCCAAAGCUCCCAAUUCAGAUAAUUUUUAGACAGGGACAAUGUCAGGCACUGCAACACCCCACCAACAACCUCCCUCCAGACACCAAAAUGCAUGUGAGUCAGCCCUCUUUGGCCACACCCUUUCAAUAGUUAGUUUUGUCCCUUGCCUGGGAUAGAGCUUGCGCCAGGUCAGAAGCUCUGGACUCUUGAGGGCAUUGGAGGGCUCCCUACCAAGCUCCUAUUCAUCGUCAGCUCGGGCUUCCUCAGCCCUAUUGCUUCCCCCUUUUCCUUACCAAUAAGUAGAAUCUGGAAGGUUCUGUAGGCCCCACUGAAUCCACUUCCUAGACUGUGGGCAGGCAUAGGGCCAGGGCCCUUUGCUCAGGUUUCACUGCAGAUCAUGGAGGGCAGUGUUCUAAAAGCAGUCUCGUCAGAGCCAAGGUAAACGCUGAGACCCACUUGUCAGUCCAGCUGAUGUUCAGCAGAGCAGAGAGCCUGUGUGGGAAAGAGCAAGAUGAAGCUGAGGCUGGGGAAGCCAAAGAGAGAGGAUAUUUAAGGAAUGGUUGGGAGGGAGACCUGAUUUCUGCUGCCAUUAGGACUGGCUUCUGGAGGGGCCUCUAAGGGGUGUGUAGUGAUAAAGAUGAGCACUGAGGAGGUGGCCCCCAGUGGAUGGAUUUGAGUCAGAUGGACAAAGAGCCUUCAUCUUUCCUUCAGGACCAUCUUAUCAAAGGCUGCAAGUGUGCUCUGCAUGAAGAUGAAAGGGAUGAGUGUUCCCACUGUGGCUCAGAGAUAACAAACCCAACUGGUAUCCAUGAGGACAAAGGUUCAAUCCCUGGCCUCACUCAGUGGGUUAAGGAUCCAGCGUUGGUGUGAGCUGUGGUGUAGGCUGCAGACUAGGCUUGGAUCUGGGCGUUGCUGUGACUGUGUCCCAUUUGACCCCUAGUCUAGAAACCUCCGUAUGCUGUGGAUAUGGCCCUAAAAAGACAAAAAAAAGAAAAAAAAAA
rnacentral:lncRNA from 1 species